AAUGUGGUUGUCUUAGCUCCGUUCUUUCUCUUGUCCGUCCAGUUCCUUUUCUUUCAGCUCGAGUCUGCCAUCUCAGCCAUACCCUGUUCCUCAAGAGCCGCUGGAUGGCACACAACAGUUUGGCACCUGAACAGGGACCUGAAGAAUGGCAGAAGGACGCUGAGAGAACGCUGUCCAUGUGGAGCUCCAUGGGAAAAGCAAAUGGUCUUCGUAUGGGGCACCAGAGCAACAAACAGCUUAUGGAACCAAGAAGGC
rnacentral:lncRNA from 1 species